UACGUAGGUGGCAAGCGUUGUCCGGAUUUAUUGGGUUUAAAGGGUGCGUAGGCGGUUCCAUAAGUCAGUGGUGAAAUACGGCAGCUCAACUGUCGAGGUGCCAUUGAUACUGCGGAACUUGAGUACUGAUGAGGUAGGCGGAAUUGACGGUGUAGCGGUGAAAUGCUUAGAUAUCGUCAAGAACACCGAUAGCGAAGGCAGCUUGCCAGAACGCGCUCGACGGUGAGGGAUGAAAGCUGGGGGAGCAAACCGG
rnacentral:rRNA from 1 species